rnacentral:rRNA from 1 species
AAGUGGCGUACGGGUGAGUAACACGUGGAUCAUCUACCUUCUAGUGGGGCAUACCUCUGGGAAACCGGAGAUAAUUCCGCAUAAGCUCGUAAGAGGAAAGCAGCAAGCGCUGGAAGAGGAGUCCGCGGCUGAUUAGCUAGAUGGCGGGGUAACGGCCCACCAUGGCGAAGAUCGGUAGCCGGCCUGAGAGGGCACACGGCCACACUGGCACUGAAACACGGGCCAGACUCCUACGGGAGGCAGCAGUGGGGAAUCUUGCACAAUGGAGGCAACUCUGAUGCAGCGACGCCGCGUGAGCGAUGAAGCCCUUCGGGGUGUAAAGCUCUUUCGACGGGAAAGAUGAUGACGGUACCCGGAGAAGAAGCUGCGGCUAACUACGUGCCAGCAGCCGCGGUAAUACGUAGGCAGCGAGCGUUGUUCGGAAUUACUGGGCGUAAAGAGUGUGUAGGCGGUGUUCCAAGUCUGGUGUGAAAUCUCCCGGCUUAACUGGGAGGGUGCGCCGGAAACUGGAAUGCUCGAGGGUGGGAGAGGUAAGCGGAAUUCCUGGUGUAGCGGUGAAAUGCGUAGAUAUCAGGAGGAACACCUGUGGUGUAGACAGCUUACUGGACCACUUC